AGAUUCUUGCAGCCUUCUGAAGGGAUGUUACUCUGUGUGGGCAGAUGCCUGAAGCCUUCUGAUGAGCUGGACAAGGGUCUGAUCCUGGCUGAUCUUCAUCCAUGCAGAAGCUGUGAGCUGUGGACAGGAGUGAGUGUGGCCUCUUGGAAUAGUCAGAAGUGGAUUUUGAGAAGUGAAAGGCUCAGCAAUGCCUAAAUCCCACACAUUGGACAAGGCUCCCAGGAAAGACACAUGGAGAGGGUCACAGGUGCUGAGAGGGCACAGAAUGGCACUGCUGACUAAAGCAAGGCAGAGUGGAAAGCUGCACUCUUGAAUUUCACACCUGGAAACCUGCCAAACAAGAAGGAACCUCAACCAGCCUCGCUGCUCUCCUGUUGAGGUGCCGUCUGUUCGCUCACAUUUGCCAGCCCCUGUCCUUCCCUGAAGAUGCCCUGCCAAGAGCCCUGCCAUGCCCUGUCUGGGCUGAAGGUCUGCAUGGCAGUGCUCAGACCUGUGCUUGUGAUGCCCCUGUCCUGCACUGGUUCAAAUGGCUCUGAAAGAGCAUCUGUGUCUUCAGCACACACAGCUACUCGUUCAGGAGGUGAGUACAGUGCUUUUUGUUUACAUUCAAAGCCUGGCUUUGA